CGGUGGCCCUGAGGUUCAAAACACGACGGUAAAUCAGAAAUCACAAUACAAAAUAAAAAAAUACAAUGGUUAAUGUCGUAUUUUCUGAUUUGCUGUUGUAUUUUGCACCUCAGGGCCACCAUA